rnacentral:rRNA from 1 species
AUGGAUAGGAAUCCGCAAGUUCUCUGUUGGAACAUGAGGGGGCUGAAUAAUCCGGCCAAAAGAAACGCGGUUAGGGAGUUCGUGGUGUCGGCGAAAGCGAACCUAGUGUGUCUACAGGAGACCAAGAUUGCUGUAUUUGAUCCGUUUAAUGUAAUGUAGUGUAUUGGGCCAUCUUUUGAUGGCUUUGAUUACGUCCCGGUGUUUGAUACACGUGGAGGUAUUCUCUUGGAGUGGGAUACGAUGGUACUGGAGGUUGAUAACAUCAUCAGAAACACUAACUCGCUCACCGGGUUGGUACACAAUAAGGACGGAGUGGUGGAUUUCAGUGGUCUAUUGUCUACAAGGGGAUUAAGCUAA